rnacentral:antisense_RNA from 1 species
UCUUGACGAUGCGGUUGCCCCGCGCCCUUUUCCAGCC